ACAUGAUGCAUAGAACUUGAAUAUGAAUUUUUUUGGCACUUAAGCUUGGAAGUAUAGAAAGAAGUGGUAUUCAGGAGUUUUGUCCAAGGUCAGGGGUACAUCAUAUCUGAUAUAUGUUCUUCUGAUCCACUUUGAACUGUAUAUCUUAAAUGGAAAUUGUGCUUGCUAUGUUUGAUAAGGAUGUGCUCCCUAUUCUGAGCCCAUCUGUAACUAAUUUCCAUGCAUCUCUGCAAAAAAUCUAAGGUUUGUACAACAUUCUAGUUUAUUCUCCUAGCUUAAUGCUGGAGCACAGAUCUGACGAGUUGCUUUCCAUCGGGAGGUUUGUAAUCCAUGAUUCCAAAAUCUUGUGUUACAUAAGUGUGAAAUGACUUUGUACGAUCUGGUGAUACAUCAUCUCGGAGGUCCCUGUCUAUAUAUGAAGAAGAUAGACUUCUUGAAAAGUGAGAUAUUUACUGUUGGGGCUCACAAUGAGAUCACAGCCUAUUAUGCCCGCGCGCCGGUGAAAUAUCUUUAGGUCCCUCUAAGUUUUUCUUUGUUGAAAUCCAUUGAUUAGGAGUUCCUUGAACAAAAGAUGCUUUGGCAAUUGGAAGCCUGGAAAGGGAACAAUCUUUCUAUGGGAGAUCUAAAGCUAAGGGUGGUUUGGGAGUUAAAGAUCCGGGGAAACUAAACAUCAGGCUCCUCUGUAAGUGGUGGUGAAAAUUAGAUGAUCAUGAUGACCUUUGGCAAGAUGUUGUUAAAUCUAUGUACUUCAGAAAGCACAUUGUGCCUAGCUAGAGUUAAACCCUGGUUUGAAGAUUCUCCUGCUCAGAAAAAUCAUUUGAAAGUGAAUGAGGUAUUUCGCGUAAAGGGGGAGUGAUGAGAUUUUGGAAGGACCCAUAGGAGGACAGCGUGCCUUUGGUUGAGAAAUAUCAUGCGCCUUAUGGUGUUUGGCAUAUUCAGGAAUGUAAUGGUCCUAAUGUUUUUCAACUUC